UAGACCAGGUCAUAUUCACUGAGGGGUUUAAUAGACCAGGUCAUAUCCACUGAGUGGUUUAAUAGACCAGGUCAUAUUCACUGAGGGGUUUAAUAGACCAGGUCAUAUUCACUGAGGGGUUUAAUAGACCAGGUCAUAUUCAUAUUCACUGAGGGGUUUAAUAGACCAGGUCAUAUCCACUGAGGGGUUUAAUAGACCAGGUCAUAUUCAUAUUCACUGAGGGGUUUAAUAGACCAGGUCAUAUUCACUGAGGGGUUUAAUAGACCAGGUCAUAUUCACUGAGGGGUUUAAUAGACCAGGUCAUAUUCACUGAGGGGUUUAAUAGACCAGGUCAUAUUCACUGAGUGGUUUAAUAGACCAGGUCAUAUUCACUGAGGGGUUUAAUAGACCAGGUCAUAUUCACUGAGGGGUUUAAUAGACCAGGUCAUAUUCACUGAGGGGUUUAAUAGACCAGGUCAUAUUCACUGAGGGGUUUAAUAGACCAGGUCAUAUUCACUGAGGGGUUUAAUAGACCAGGUCAUAUUCACUGAGUGGUUUAAUAGACCAGGUCAUAUUCAUAUCCACUGAGGGGUUUAAUAGACCAGGUCAUAUCCACUGAGGGGUUUAAUAGACCAGGUCAUAUUCACUGAGGGGUUUAAUAGACCAGGUCAUAUUCACUGAGGGGUUUAAUAGACCAGGUCAUAUUCACUGAGGGGUUUAAUAGACCAGGUCAUAUUCACUGAGGGGUUUAAUAGACCAGGUCAUAUUCACUGAGUGGUUUAAUAGACCAGGUCAUAUUCACUGAGGGGUUUAAUAGACCAGGUCAUAUUCAUAUUCACUGAGUGGUUUAAUAGACCAGGUCAUAUUCACUGAGUGGUUUAAUAGACCAGGUCAUAUUCAUAUUCACUGAGGGGUUUAAUAGACCAGGUCAUAUUCACUGAGGGGUUUAAUAGACCAGGUCAUAUUCAUAUUCACUGAGUGGUUUAAUAGACCAGGUCAUAUUCACUGAGGGGUUUAAUAGACCAGGUCAUAUUCACUGAGGGGUUUAAUAGACCAGGUCAUAUUCACUGAGGGGUUUAAUAGACCAGGUCAUAUUCACUGAGUGGUUUAAUAGACCAGGUCAUAUUCACUGAGGGGUUUAAUAGACCAGGUCAUAUUCACUGAGUGGUUUAAUAGACCAGGUCAUAUUCACUGAGGGGUUUAAUAGACCAGGUCAUAUUCACUGAGGGGUUUAAUAGACCAGGUCAUAUUCAUAUUCACUGAGGGGUUUAAUAGACCAGGUCAUAUUCACUGAGGGGUUUAAUAGACCAGGUCAUAUUCACUGAGGGGUUUAAUAGACCAGGUCAUAUCCACUGAGGGGUUUAAUAGACCAGGUCAUAUUCAUAUCCACUGAGGGGUUUAAUAGACCAGGUCAUAUUCACUGAGGGGUUUAAUAGACCAGGUCAUAUUCACUGAGGGGUUUAAUAGACCAGGUCAUAUUCACUGAGUGGUUUAAUAGACCAGGUCAUAUUCAUAUUCACUGAGGGGUUUAAUAGACCAGGUCAUAUUCACUGAGGGGUUUAAUAGACCAGGUCAUAUUCAUAUUCACUGAGGGGUUUAAUAGACCAGGUCAUAUUCACUGAGGGGGUUUAAUAGACCAGGUCAUAUUCACUGAGGGGUUUAAUAGACCAGGUCAUAUUCACUGAGGGGGUUUAAUAGACCAGGUCAUAUUCACUGAGGGGUUUAAUAGACCAGGUCAUAUUCACUGAGGGGUUUAAUAGACCAGGUCAUAUUCACUGAGGGGUUUAAUAGACCAGGUCAUAUCCACUGAGGGGUUUAAUAGACCAGGUCAUAUUCACUGAGGGGUUUAAUAGACCAGGUCAUAUUCAUAUUCACUGAGUGGUUUA